rnacentral:rRNA from 1 species
CAGCAGCCGCGGUAAUACGUAGGGUGCGAGCGUUGUCCGGAAUUACUGGGCGUAAAGAGCUCGUAGGUGGUUUGUCGCGUUGUUCGUGAAAUUCCCUGGCUUAACUGGGGGCGUGCGGGCGAUACGGGCAGACUGGAGUACUGCAGGGGAGACUGGAAUUCCUGGUGUAGCGGUGGAAUGCGCAGAUAUCAGGAGGAACACCGGUGGCGAAGGCGGGUCUCUGGGCAGUAACUGACGCUGAGGAGCGAAAGCGUGGGGAGCGAACAGGAUUAGAUACCCUGGUAGUCCACGCCGUAAACGG